rnacentral:rRNA from 1 species
CGGCGGACGGGUGAGUAACACGUGGGUAACCUACCUAUAAGACUGGGAUAACUUCGGGAAACCGGAGCUAAUACCGGAUAAUAUUUCGAACCGCAUGGUUCGAUAGUGAAAGAUGGUUUUGCUAUCACUUAUAGAUGGACCUGCGCCGUAUUAGCUAGUUGGUAAGGUAACGGCUUACCAAGGCGACGAUACGUAGCCGACCUGAGAGGGUGAUCGGCCACACUGGAACUGAGACACGGUCCAGACUCCUACGGGAGGCAGCAGCUCG